rnacentral:rRNA from 1 species
AUGGCGUACAGAAGAAUUAGGUUUACGGCGAUCGUUGUUCAUGUGUGCUGCACGGAGAAAUCAACAUCUUCCAUUAGCGGGAAGUUCGUACGCGGCCUGCUGGCUCUAUAUUUGAAUCGAGCGCCUCGACGGAUUGUUGCCACACGCACCACUCCCUCCACUCCCACUCCCACUCCCCCACGUACGCUGCGAGGGAGGGCCGAACGCGCCAUGCAGCAACCACCCCGUCUCCUCCUCGUCCUCCUCUUCUGCCUCGCCGCCUCGUCCGCGCUUGCGUCCGGCGGGGAUGAAGGCGCGGCGACCUACAUUGUGUACCUGAACCCCGCGCUCAAGCCGUCGCCGUACGCCACGCACCUCCACUGGCACCACGCGCACCUCGACGCGCUCUCCGUGGACCCUGAAAGCCACCUCCUCUACUCCUACACCACGGCCGCGCCGUCUGCCUUCGCCGCGCGCCUCCUCCCGUCACACGUGACCGAGCUCCGCGGCCAUCCCGCCGUCGCGUCGGUCCACGAGGAUGUCCUGCACCCGCUCCACACCACGCGCUCACCUUCGUUCCUCCACCUCCCGCCGUACAGCGCUCCGGCUCCUAGCGCGGACGGCGGGAGCUCCGACGUCAUCGUCGGGGUGCUCGACACUGGUGUUUGGCCCGAGAGCCCCAGCUUCGCCGAUGCCGGCCUGGGCCCCGUGCCAUCGCGGUGGCGCGGGAGCUGCGAGACCAAUGCCACCGACUUCCCCUCCUCGAUGUGCAACCGGAAGCUCAUCGGCGCGCGCGGCUUCUUCCGGGGCUUCGGGGCGGGCGGCAGGAACGGCUCCUCCCAUGGGACCACCGAGCUCUCGUCGCCGAGGGACCACGACGGGCACGGCACCCACACGGCGUCCACGGCGGCGGGGGCCGUGGUGGCCGACGCGAGCCUCCUCGGUUACGCCCACGGCACGGCUCGGGGCAUGGCGCCCGGGGCGCGCGUCGCGGCGUACAAGGUGUGCUGGAGGCAGGGAUGCUUCAGCUCGGACAUACUCGCGGGCAUGGAGCAGGCCAUCGAGGACGGGGUCGACGUGCUCUCGCUGUCGCUGGGAGGCGGCUCGUAUCCGCUCUCCCGCGACCCCAUCGCCGUCGGCGCGCUGGCGGCCACCCGCCGCGGCAUCGUCGUCGCGUGCUCCGCGGGGAACAGCGGGCCGGCGCCGUCGUCGCUGGUGAACACUGCCCCGUGGAUCAUCACCGUCGGAGCCGGCACGCUCGACCGGAACUUCCCGGCGUACGCGAAGCUCGGCAAUGGCGAGACCCAUGCCGGCAUGUCGCUCUACUCGGGCGAUGGGCUGGGUGACGACAAGUUCCCCCUGGUGUACAACAAAGGCAUCCGCCCGGGCAGCAACGCGAGCAAGCUCUGCAUGUCGGGCACGCUGGACGCGUCGGCGGUGAAGGGCAAGGUGGUCCUGUGCGACCGGGGCGGGAACUCGCGGGUGGAGAAGGGGCAGGUGGUGAAGCUGGCGGGCGGCGUCGGGAUGGUGCUCGCGAACACCGCACAGAGCGGCGAGGAGGUCGUGGCGGACAGCCACCUGCUCCCCGCCGUGGCCGUCGGCGCCAAGAGCGGCGACGCCAUAAGGGCGUACGUGGAGUCGGACGCCGGCGCGGAGGUGGCGUUGAGCUUCGCCGGCACCGCUGUGGACGUGCACCCGGCGCCGGUGGUGGCCGCGUUUAGCUCCCGUGGGCCGAACAGGCAGGUGGCGCAGCUGCUGAAGCCGGACGUGAUCGGACCGGGGGUGAACAUCCUGGCCGGGUGGACGGGGUCCGUCGGGCCGACUGGGCUGACCAUCGACGAGCGGCGGCCGGCGUUCAACAUCUUGUCAGGGACAUCCAUGUCGUGCCCGCACAUCAGCGGGCUCGCGGCGUUCGUGAAGGCGGCGCACCCGGACUGGAGCCCCAGCGCCAUCAAGUCGGCGCUCAUGACCACCGCCUACACCGUCGACAACACCGGAUCGCCCCUCCUCGACGCGGCCGGCGCCAACGCCACGGCCACGGCCACGCCAUGGGCCUUCGGCUCCGGCCACGUCGACCCCGUCAAGGCCCUCUCCCCGGGCCUCGUCUACGACACGUCCAUCGACGACUACGUCGCCUUCCUCUGCACCGUCGGCGGCGCCUCGCCCCGGCAGGUCCAGGCCAUCACGGGGGCGCCAAACGCGACGUGCCAGCGGAAGCUGUCCAGCCCCGGCGACCUCAACUACCCGUCCUUCUCCGUCGUCUUCGGCCUCCGCAAGUCGCGCACCACCGUCAAGUACCACCGCGAGCUGACCAACGUCGGCGCCGCCGGGUCGGUGUACGCGGCCAAGGUCACCGGCCCGCCCAGCAUCGUGGUGUCCGUGAAGCCGGCCAGGCUCGUGUUCAAGAAGGCCGGGGACAAGCUCAGGUACACCGUCGCGUUCAAGUCGACGGCGGAGGGCGGCCCCAUGGACGCCGCGUUCGGGUGGCUGACGUGGAGCAGCGGGGAGCAGGACGUGCGGAGCCCGAUAUCGUAUACGUGGGGGAUGUAG